GAAGGGAGCAAGCGUUAUUCGGAAUAACUGGGCGUAAAGAGCGUGUAGGUGGCUUAGUAAGUCAGUUGUUAAAGCCCAAGGCUUAACCUUGGAACAGCAAUUGAUACUGCAAAGCUAGAGGACAGAAGAGAGAAGUGGAAUUCUCGGAGUAGCGGUAAAAUGCGUAGAUCUCGAGAGGAACACCAAUAGCGAAGGCAGCUUCUUGGUCUGUUUCUGACACUAAAGCGCGAAAGCAUGGGGGGGAGCAAACAGGAUUAGAUACCCUGGUAGUCCAUGCCCGUAAACGAUGAUCACUAGAUGUGCGAUGCUUUUCGGGCGUUGCGUGUCGAAGCUAACGCGUUAAGUGAUCCGCCUGGGGAGUACGAUCGCAAGAUUA
rnacentral:rRNA from 1 species